rnacentral:rRNA from 1 species
UACGAAGGUCCCAAGCGUUAUCCGGAUUUAUUGGGUUUAAAGGGUGCGUAGGCGGCCCUGUAAGUCAGUGCUGAAAUAUCCCAGCUUAACUGGGAGGGUGGCAUUGAUACUGCGGGGCUAGAGUACAGAUGAGGUAGGCGGAAUUGACGGUGUAGCGGUGAAAUGCUUAGAUAUCGUCAAGAACACCUAUAGCGAAGGCAGCUUACUAGGCUGUAACUGACGCUGAGGCGCGAAAGCUAGGGGAGCAAACAGG